CUCCAAGGCCACCACCCCAAGGUCCCCAAGGUCCCCAAGGCCACCACCCUAAGGUCCCCAAGGCCACCACCCCAAGGUCCCCAAGGCCACCACCCCCACGGCCACCAACCCAAUGACCACCAACCCAACAUCUCCAUGGUCACCACCACCAAAGCCACCACCCCAAGGUCCCCAUGACCACCACCCCAAGGUCCCCAAGGUCCCCAAGGCCACCACCCCAAGGUCUCCAUGGCCACCACCCCAAGGUCCCCAAG